rnacentral:rRNA from 1 species
UAAAAAAUUACCCACAACAUCAAGCGCCCGGGUAUUACGAGUGCAAACUUAAAAUCCAAAGGAUUUGACGGUGUCCCACCCACCUAGAGGAGCCUGUUCUAUAAUCGAUAAUCCUCGAUAUACCUCACCAUUUCUUGCUACUCAAUCUGUAUACCUCCGUCGUAAGCUCACCAUUUGAAUGCAAAAAAGUAAGUUUAAUGAUCAUUCAUCAACACGUCAGGUCAAGGUGCAACCAAUGAAACGGGAAGCAAUGGGCUACAAUUUCUACAAUAGAACACACGAAAUACUACAUGAAAAUUAGUCAUGAAGGCGGAUUUAGUAGUAAAAGAAGAAUAGCAUGCUUCUUUUAACAAGGCUGUGGGACGUGUACAAACCGCCCGUCACCCUCUUCAACAGCAUAUUUCAAUUCAUAAUCUUUAAAAGCACCUUAGAAGAGGCAAGUCGUAACAUGGUAAGUGUACUGGAAAGUGCACUUGGCAAAUCAAAAUGUAGGUUAAGUAAAGCAUCUCGCUUACACCGAAAAAAUAUCUGUUUAACCCAGAUCAUUUUGAG